CUUAUAAAAGAGACCUCAUGUAUGAUUUUAAUCUUAAAAAGUAAGUAAAAAAAAAUUCAUGUAGCUUCUGGUUAGCUACCAGAAUCUUAAGGAGAAGAAAGAAAGAUUUUUAUCUGUGAAAACUCCUGCAUGCACUAGCGACAAAGCCUGAUGCUCUAAUCUGCUCAGACGGCCGAAGCUUCCAGUCUGAAUCCGUGGCAGGCAGCCUCUUGACCUCCAAGCAUCGGUCUCUUCUGCAAAAUCAGGGCGCGUCCUCUGUUGGUCUGUGUACUUUUGUGGCGCCUAUCACUGUGGGAUCUGGGCUCAGAGACAAAAACAUCAGGCAAAAUACAAAUUUGUGUAUUAUGGAAGGAAAUGCCGUCUGGCUCCCUGGAGUCACCCUUGGCUUACGUGCAGUGAGGACUUUAUCCCAGGGUGGUUUGCAUAUAGCCUAAGAAAAAGUGUGGACGAAACCAACCCUAGAGACUUCCUUGUUUUCAUUUAUAAAAGAAGCAACAAGUUAGUGUUUGUGAAGUUGGGUAAAAUUACUUAAGUUUUAAAAUGUGCUGCUAACUGUCUCCAUUGAAACAGGUAACGGCCUUCUACUCAAAAGAAUGAGGAGGUUUCUUCUCUCUUCCUUUCCUUUCCUUUCUCCUUCCCUCCUCCCUCCUUUAAACCUUUAUGCUUUCCUUCCCUCCUUUGUUUUCUCCUCCUUUUUCUCUUUUGUAUUCUUCCCCAAAUAGUAAACUAUGUUUGUCUUAAUAGUAAAGUAAUGCACAUUAAUGAUAAAAAUGACUUCUGCCAAGUAGAAUACAAGAGUGUAAGGUAAAAGAUAAAAUGUUUUUCCAAAGAUAAAAGACCUCUCCAGCUUUACCAGAUACACAGAGGUAACUGCAAUUUAAGUCUUUCUUAAAAUCUUUCUGAAAAUUUCCUCUGCACGUGCAAACUUUCACACAGACGGAUAUAUAUCUAUUUAACCUUCACUGCAAAUGGGGUCACACUCGAUGUAUUGUCCGCAGCACACUUCUCCUCACUCAACAGUGUAUCUCAGAACCUUUCCACAAGAGCAUAAGAAUCCACCCAUGCUUAAUAGUCCAUUGUGUGGUUUGUAUCAUAAUGAAUUUAACCAGUUUCUUAAAUUGAUAUUAGCAAGUUUUCUCCCCCCAUUUGGGGAGAUUACAAACAAUACAGCAAGACGUGUCCUGGUACCCUUGCACUCUUUGCACAGAUGAGAGAACAAACCCUUAGGCUGAAUUCUUAGCAAUGAAAUUGCUGGGUCAAAGGGUAUGUAAAUUUUACAUUUUAAUAGAUAUUGCCAAAUUGCCCUGUGAAAAAGUUAUAUCAAUUUACAACCCUAUCAACAUUAUAUGAACUGCCUAUUUCCUCAAAACCUCACCAACUCCAUGUGCUAUGAAACUCUUAAAUCUUUGCCAAUAGGCAAUAAAUGGCAAAUGAUUAUUGCUGUAAUUCAUGUUUCAAGUAAGGAAGACAACAUUUUUUUGCAUUUUAUGGACUAUUUGCAUUAUUUUCUGGAAUCUGGCCUUGACUACUGUUUAUUUUUAUUGUAUUUUUUUUUUUUAGUUUUAAAAAUUGACUUUAAAAGCUUUAUCAUUACCUUUAUUUGUCAGAUAGGCCACAAAUAUGUUUCUCAUUUGUCUAUUGCUUAAACAAAUAGAAGUUUACAUUAUUUAAAGACUCACACUUACCCACCUUUUCUUAGAAAGCAUUUGGGGUUUGUGCCAUGCACAGAUGAGCCCUGCUUCUACAAAAAAGACUUAGGACUCUUCCAUGCUUUCUCCCAGAGUUCUUAUGGGCUCGCUUUACACAUAGAAAUCUUUGCUGUUUUAGACAUGUGUUCUGGUGAAUGGAGUGAGAUGAGGACUGGGUUUGAGAAGAUUUUGUUGGCUCCACAUGGUUUUGCAAAUCAACCUGCUGCUCCAGUGAUGACAUGCUGCUGAGGGAAGGUUUGGUGGUUCCUGGGAAGUUGAAAGGAUCUGGGCAAGCUUUUUGUAAGAUCCAG
rnacentral:lncRNA from 10 species